rnacentral:rRNA from 1 species
UAGGGAAUCUUCCGCAAUGGGCGAAAGCCUGACGGAGCAACGCCGCGUGAGUGAUGAAGGUCUUCGGAUCGUAAAACUCUGUUAUUAGGGAAGAACAAAUGUGUAAGUAACUAUGCACGUCUUGACGGUACCUAAUCAGAAAGCCACGGCUAACUACGUGCCAGCAGCCGCGGUAAUACGUAGGUGGCAAGCGUUAUCCGGAAUUAUUGGGCGUAAAGCGCGCGUAGGCGGUUUUUUAAGUCUGAUGUGAAAGCCCACGGCUCAACCGUGGAGGGUCAUUGGAAACUGGAAAACUUGAGUGCAGAAGAGGAAAGUGGAAUUCCAUGUGUAGCGGUGAAAUGCGCAGAGAUAUGGAGGAACACCAGUGGCGAAGGCGACUUUCUGGUCUGUAACUGACGCUGAUGUGCGAAAGCGUGGGGAUCAAACAGGAUUAGAUACCCUGGUAGUCCACGCCGUAAACGAUGAGUGCUAAGUGUUGGAGGGUUUCCGCCCUUCAGUGCUGCAGUUAACGCAUUAAGCACUCCGCCUGGGGAGUACGACCGCAAGGUUG